UGGGGAAUAUUGCGCAAUGGGGGGAACCCUGACGCAGCCAUGCCGCGUGAAUGAAGAAGGCCUUCGGGUUGUAAAGUUCUUUCGGUAUUGAGGAAGGUUGAUGUGUUAAUAGCACAUCAAAUUGACGUUAAAUACAGAAGAAGCACCGGCUAACUCCGUGCCAGCAGCCGCGGUAAUACGGAGGGUGCGAGCGUUAAUCGGAAUAACUGGGCGUAAAGGGCACGCAGGCGGUUAUUUAAGUGAGGUGUGAAAGCCCUGGGCUUAACCUAGGAAUUGCAUUUCAGACUGGGUAACUAAAGUACUUUAGGGAGGGGUAGAAUUCCACGUGUAGCGGUGAAAUGCGUAGAGAUGUGGAGGAAUACCGAAGGCGAAGGCAGCCCCUUGGGAAUGUACUGACGCUCAUGUGCGAAAGCGUGGGGAGCAAACAGGAUUAGAUACCCUGGUAGUCCACGCUGUAAACGCUGUCGAUUUGGGGGUUGGGGUUUAACUCUGGCGCCCGUAGCUAACGUGAUAAAUCGACCGCCUGGGGAGUACGGCCGCAAGGUUA
rnacentral:rRNA from 1 species